rnacentral:rRNA from 1 species
AGAGUUUGAUCCUGGCUCAGAUUGAACGCUGGCGGCAUGCCUUACACAUGCAAGUCGAACGGCAGCACGGGAGCAAUCCUGGUGGCGAGUGGCGAACGGGUGAGUAAUACAUCGGAACGUGCCCAAUCGUGGGGGAUAACGCAGCGAAAGCUGUGCUAAUACCGCAUACGAUCUACGGAUGAAAGCAGGGGACCGCAAGGCCUUGCGCGAAUGGAGCGGCCGAUGGCAGAUUAGGUAGUUGGUGGGGUAAAGGCUCACCAAGCCUUCGAUCUGUAGCUGGUCUGAGAGGACGACCAGCCACACUGGGACUGAGACACGGCCCAGACUCCUACGGGAGGCAGCAGUGGGGAAUUUUGGACAAUGGGCGCAAGCCUGAUCCAGCCAUGCCGCGUGCAGGAUGAAGGCCUUCGGGUUGUAAACUGCUUUUGUACGGAACGAAACGGCUCUUUCUAAUAAAGAGGGCUAAUGACGGUACCGUAAGAAUAAGCACCGGCUAACUACGUGCCAGCAGCCGCGGUAAUACGUAGGGUGCAAGCGUUAAUCGGAAUUACUGGGCGUAAAGCGUGCGCAGGCGGUGAUGUAAGACAGUUGUGAAAUCCCCGGGCUCAACCUGGGAACUGCAUCUGUGACUGCAUCGCUGGAGUGCGGCAGAGGGGGAUGGAAUUCCGCGUAGCAGUGAAAUGCGUAGAUAUGCGGAGGAACACCGAUGGCGAAGGCAAUCCCCUGGGCCUGCACUGACGCUCAUGCACGAAAGCGUGGGGAGCAAACAGGAUUAGAUACCCUAGUAGUCC